GACGAACGCUGGCGGCGUGCUUAACACAUGCAAGUCGAACGGAAAGGCCCUGCUUUUGUGGGGUGCUCGAGUGGCGAACGGGUGAGUAACACGUGAGUAACCUGCCCUUGACUUUGGGAUAACUUCAGGAAACUGGGGCUAAUACCGGAUAGGAGCUCCUGCUGCAUGGUGGGGGUUGGAAAGUUUCGGCGGUUGGGGAUGGACUCGCGGCUUAUCAGCUUGUUGGUGGGGUAGUGGCUUACCAAGGCUUUGACGGGUAGCCGGCCUGAGAGGGUGACCGGCCACAUUGGGACUGGGAUGCGGCCCAGACGCCUACGGGAGGCAGCAGUGGGGAAUAUUGCACAAUGGGCGGAAGCCUGAUGCAGCAACGCCGCGUGCGGGAUGACGGCCUUCGGGUUGUAAACCGCUUUCGCCUGUGACGAAGCGUGAGUGACGGUAAUGGGCAAAGAAGCACCGGCUAACUACGU
rnacentral:rRNA from 1 species